GGGGGUGAAUUUUGGCUUCGACGGGAUUAAUUUGGCUUUGAAUAGCGCAUCGUGAACCCCGAGGUCACGUUAAUAAUCGGGAAAAAAAAUAAACGAUAACAAUAGUUACGCUUUAGCUGCCUAAUUAUGGCAGUUCGUUCAACUUUCUUUUUCAUACCAAAGAAUUUUUGAACGUCGUUUAGGUAUGAUAGCCAAAUCAAGAACUUGAGUAGAUGAGGCGAAUUUUUAUCAAGUUAGUUUUGUUAAAUCUUGUUUGUUGGAGUUGACAAAAUGAACCACAAAAAACAAACUAUGUGCGUAGAAGUUCAUUGACUUGUAGUUUCGGACCGGGGUUCGACUCCCCGCACCUCCACAA
rnacentral:tmRNA from 1 species